GACGAACGCUGGCGGCGUGCUUAACACAUGCAAGUCGAACGGAAAGGCCCUGCUUUUGUGGGGUGCUCGAGUGGCGAACGGGUGAGUAACACGUGAGUAACCUGCCCUUGACUUUGGUAUAACUUCAGGAAGCUUGGGCUAAUACCGGAUAGGAGCUCCUGCUGCAUGGUGGGGGUUGGAAAGUUUCGGCGGUUGGGGAUGGACUCGCGGCUUAUCAGCUUGUUGGUGGGGUAGUGGCUUACCAAGGCUUUGACGGGUAGCCGGCCGGAGAGGGUGACCGGCCACAUUGGGACUGAGAUACGGCGCAGACGCAUACGGGAGGAAGCAGUGGGGAGUAUUGCACAGUGGGCGGAAGGCUGAUGCAGCAACGCCGCGUGCGGGAUGACGGCCUUCGGGUUGUAAACCGCUUUCGCCUGUGACGAAGCGUGAGUGGCGGAAAUGGGUAAGGAAGCACCGGCUAACUACGU
rnacentral:rRNA from 1 species